UGUGUGUGUGUGAGUGUAUUUGUUUUGUCUAUACUUGUGUGGACCAAAUGUCUUUACUUCUAUUGUGAAAUUUUCAAUUAAAUUCAGUUUUAUUUAUAAAGCACAUUUAAAAUCAACCUUAGUUGGCCAAAGUGCUGUACGAAACAAUUAAGUAACAAUUAAAUCGGAGAGAUAUUUAGGAGCCAAGUCGUUGAGAGCUUUGUAAACAAAUACCAGAAUUUUGUAGUCAUUUCGAUAUAUAAGUGGCAGCCAAUGCAAAGAACGUAAGAUUGGUGUGAUAUGGUCUCGCGAGAUACGCUGCAAGCACAUAAUUGAUCCCAGAAGUAACAUAUAUAAUGACAAUAAUAAUGGUGCUAAAACCGAUCCCUGGGGUACACCACAAGUAAUUUGAGUCACCGAGGAUGAAUGGACACCGAAACUGCCAGAAAAACUUCUAUUUGACAGAAAAGAUUGGAAGCAUUUCAAAACUGUACCUGAGAUACCGAUCGAGCAUUCAAGUCGAGAUAAAAGAAUCCUGUGAUCCACGAAGUCAAAAGCUCAGCUCAAAUCUAACAGCACUAAGGCCAUGGUAUCACCAGCGUCUGUGGUCAAUAAAAUAUCUUUGAAAACUUUUAAAAGAGCAGACUCCGUGCUAUGAAGGGUUUUAAAGAUGAACUGAAAAAUGUCGGAGAUUGAAUUGAUUUGCAGGUAAUUCUCCAACUGUAUAAAAACAGCUUUUUUUUAGAAUUUUGGAUAGGAAUGGUAAAUUAGAGAUGGGUCUAGUAGUUUGCAUAUAUUGUGGCGUCAAGCGAGGGUUUUCACAAGCAGGCUGGAACCGUCCCAGUCAAAAGACAAUUAUUAAUAAUGUGUAGAAUGUCCACACCGACUGUAUCGAAAAUCUGUUUUAGAAAACGGGAAGGAAGAAUGACAUGAGGAGAAAAAGUAGGUUUCAAUUUUAAAGUGAUUUCUCUUAAUGUCUGAAAUUCAUUCCACUGUGAACAGGAGAAGGAGGAAUCAAGUACAGGCUGUAUUGAGAAGAGCGUUCUAGAACAAUUUGAGUUUUUCACAAUGAUAUCAGUGAAAAUGUAUGCCCUAACAGCCUUUUGGAAAUUAAGUAGGGAAACAUUCAGCAUUUCAAAUGAUACUUGGAGCCUAUCUUUUUCCAUUUACGUUCAAGCCGUCUGCAUUGCUGUCGUAAUAAUCGGAUAUUGUUGUUGAUCCAAGGCUGAGACUUGUUUCGGGGAUAGACAAGCUUCCGAGGUGCAAAAAAGUCCAAAAUGUCAGAGCAUUUGUAAGAUUGUAUCUGCUCAUCAACAUCUAGAUGUGAUGUAACAGAAUCAGAAAUAAGCUGAUUUUCAGUCGCCAAAUACAGUUCAGAGAAGACAUGAUUGGAGUGCGAGGUCAGAAUACGUAAGGUUUUAGGUGGAGCCGGAAGGAGUGUAGAGCAGAGCACCGGCCUGUGAUCAGAAAGUGGAACAUCACAGAUGUCAAUGUCAGCUACAGACAGCCCAUAUGUCAAUAUUAAAUCAAGCGGAUGACCGUGAGAGUAUGUAGGACCAUUCACCCACUGAACAACAUCCAU